AACCCACACCAAGUCCAGGAGCACCUAGGGCACCUUUGGGACUCCACCUCAGGCUGGUUGUCACCCUCCCAGCUCGGCAAAGUUGUACCCCUGAUCCUGCCUGGCACCUGUUCCAACUGAAGGUCCCAUGCAUCUCUCCUCCAGACCCCUCCAGGGAGCCACGUGGAGACCUGCCAUGGCCUGAGAUCUUGGGGUCCUCUCGGAGCACCAGGAGCUAACUCAGCACCCCAAGCUGCAUUUGGCAGCCCAGCUGGAACACACUGUCACAGAGGAAAUGCUGACAGCUCCUCCUCAGACCCUGUCAUUACCUCCCAGUCUUACAAAGCUAAGCAAGGGCCUGGUUGGAUUGAGCCCCUCCUCUGUGCUAGCAUUUCCGCACUCUGCAAAUGUCGCUUGCAGUUCUCUCCAGAACUCUGAGGUCCAGAAUCCAUGGGCAGGUGGGAAGGAAACACUCCAGGCUCUCCCAGGCUUCCUCUCCCAGUUCUCAGCAGCCCACCUUACCCCUGGGAACUGCCUAUGAGCUAGGCCCAUCCUAAAGGGAGCCCCUGUCCUGAGAAUUCUUCAGGCCUCUGUAAAUGUCUGGAAGGAACCGAAGGAGGAAGGCAGGAGCUGGCCUGGAUCUUUCUGAACCACUCGGCCCCAGAUGCCCACAGACACUGGCUUGGCUGGCCUUGAAAGUCCCCAAAGGGUGAGGGCAGAGGGUUCUGGGGGUGUUACCCAGAGCUGAAGCUCGGGAAUGAGGCCCCUCCCUGGAGACCCAGCAGGACUGGGACACAGCCCAUCCAGGAGGACCUCUGCUGCUUGGCCCCCUGGGCCCAGGUCUGACCCUCUGUCCUGAUCUGUGCCUUCACCCCAAGCCUGGGGUAGGCAGUGCUGUGACACCCUGGCUUACAUCAGGGAGCUUGUGAGGCAGAUGUGUCCAGCUGUAGGAGAGAAUGGAGGGGCCAAGGAGAACAGAAACCCCUGACCUAGUUACAACCCAGAGGGUGACAGUGCUGGGUGGGAGGGAAGGGCCACUUUGGUGGGUCAAGGGCGGGUGACCCCAGAAUACAGGACCUCCCUGGUGAGUGGCUCCAAGGAAGCCAGCUGUGACUUGCCCCUGAGGUUGGCACUUCCUUUAGCUAACUCAGCAGGGUUGACAUUUUUCAUGGGACUAGGGAGCUCUUCGAAUUCCCCCCUUCCCUUCCACAUUGACUUUCUGGGUGCCCUCUGUGGGCGGGGCUUGUCCAGCCAGGGUCUACAGGGGUGUGUACCAGAGUCUUCAGGUCCUUGAGCUGGUUCCGCAGCUGGAAGAGCUCGGUGGAGGUGAGCAGGAUGGUGUUGAGGGUAUGCACCAUGGUGGAGGCGAACUUGAGGUCCUCCUCCCGGAGCAGGAUGUCAGCCAUCGAGUGGAAGAUGUUCUCGGCGUUCAGCAGGAGGCAGAGCUGCCUACAAGACCAACGGACGAGUGGAGGUCAAGACCCAGGCCGUCCUCAGACCCCCAUGACUCAGCUCAGGAACCUUCCAUGAAUGCAUCCUGAGGAAGGCUGCUCUUUCCUGGGGCUAGGGUGGGAUGCCAGCUCUUGAAUUUGCUGAGGGCUGGUACUAGGGUGUUGCUCACAGCGGCCUGGCUCAGUGACCUCCUACAUGCACCUCCAGAGCCCCAUAGACUUGUCUUCUCCCACCUGCCCCAGGACAGAAAGCAAAAGUUCUAAGAGACACAGUUGGGUUUCUGGUUAUAGAAGCCCUGAGUUACCUUUACUGAACUCCCACAUACCACAGCAAUACCCCCAGUGCCCAGCAUUCCUGGCCCCUUCCUCAAUUUACUUUCCUGGAUGGACUAAUUUUCAUGUGAUAGAUAACACACAAUAGCCAUCUGUGUUACCCACUCCCAUUCACUCCCUGGGACUUGUUUAUGCUAUUCCUAAAAGCCACCCUCCCCCUCCAUGCUCUGCCUGCAAAUACUUGGAGAUAAACCAACCAACCCUUUGAGCAACCCUGAGUAGUAUUUUUUUUUCCCCCAGAGCACUGCUCAGUUCUAGCUUGUGGUAGUACUGAGGAUUGAACCUGGGACCUUGGAGCUUCAGGUUAUGAGUCAAUGAGUCAUUUGCAUAACUACAACCCUGAGUUUUUUAAUGUGACACCAAGAAUGAAUUAAGCGUCUCUUGCAUGUAGGAAAUCACUGCUGAGGAACCCCUCCAAGCCAAUUUUGAGAAAUGGAGAAAUGCCACAAUACAGCACCAGCAUUUCUGGAGCUCCCUUGGUGUUCUUAUGUACUUUCAGCUCUCAAAUUUAGGCUAUACCCCUUGGAAUAUACCUAAAAUAGAAUUACUUGCUUUUUCCAAAAUGCAGACCCCAAAUCUCAUCUGCUAAACUUCUGCCUUUAGGUUCCUGAUUAGUAAACAUUUUGUUUUGCUUUA